AUUGAACGCUGGCGGCAUGCCUUACACAUGCAAGUCGAACGGUAACAGGUCUUCGGAUGCUGACGAGUGGCGAACGGGUGAGUAAUACAUCGGAACGUGCCCGAUCGUGGGGGAUAACGGAGCGAAAGCUUUGCUAAUACCGCAUACGAUCUACGGAUGAAAGCAGGGGACCGCAAGGCCUUGCGCGGACGGAGCGGCCGAUGGCCGAUUAGGUAGUUGGUGGGAUAAAAGCUUACCAAGCCGACGAUCUGUAGCUGGUCUGAGAGGACGACCAGCCACACUGGGACUGAGACACGGCCCAGACUCCUACGGGAGGCAGCAGUGGGGAAUUUUGGACAAUGGGCGGAAGCCUGAUCCAGCCAUGCCGCGUGCAGGAUGAAGGCCUUCGGGUUGUAAACUGCUUUUGUACGGAACGAAAAGACUCUUUCUAAUAAAGAGGGUCCAUGACGGUACCGUAAGAAUAAGCACCGGCUAACUACGUGCCAGCAGCCGCGGUAA
rnacentral:rRNA from 1 species